rnacentral:rRNA from 1 species
GACGUAGGAUGCAAGCGUUGUCCGGAUUUAUUGGGCGUAAAGAGUUCGUAGGCGGUUCGUUAAGUCUGAUGUUAAAGAUCGGGGCUCAACCUCGGGAGUGCAUUGGAUACUGGCGAGCUGGAGUGCGGUAGAGGUAAGUGGAAUUCCCAGUGUAGCGGUGAAAUGCGUAGAUAUUGGGAAGAACACCAGUGGCGUAGGCGACUUACUGGGCCGUAACUGACGCUGAGGAACGAAAGCCAGGGGAGCAAAUGGG